rnacentral:rRNA from 1 species
UACAGAGGGGGCCAGCGUUAUUCGGAAUUAUUGGGCGUAAAGGGCUCGUAGGCGGCCAACUAAGUCAGACGUGAAAUCCCUCGGCUUAACCGGGGAACUGCGUCUGAUACUGGAUGGCUUGAGGUUGGGAGAGGGAUGCGGAAUUCCAGGUGUAGCGGUGAAAUGCGUAGAUAUCUGGAGGAACACCGGUGGCGAAGGCGGGUCUCUGGGCCGUAACUGACGCUGAGGAGCGAAAGCAUGGGGAGCGAACAGG